rnacentral:rRNA from 1 species
AUUGAACGCUGGCGGCAUGCCUUACACAUGCAAGUCGAACGGUAACAGGUCUUCGGAUGCUGACGAGUGGCGAACGGGUGAGUAAUACAUCGGAACGUGCCUAGUAGUGGGGGAUAACUACUCGAAAGAGUGGCUAAUACCGCAUGAGAUCUACGGAUGAAAGCAGGGGAUCGCAAGACCUUGUGCUACUAGAGCGGCCGAUGGCAGAUUAGGUAGUUGGUAGGAUAAAAGCUUACCAAGCCGACGAUCUGUAGCUGGUCUGAGAGGACGAUCAGCCACACUGGGACUGAGACACGGCCCAGACUCCUACGGGAGGCAGCAGUGGGGAAUUUUGGACAAUGGGCGAAAGCCUGAUCAGCAAUGCCGCGUGCAGGAUGAAGGCCUUCGGGUUGUAAACUGCUUUUGUACGGAACGAAAAGCCCCGGGUUAAUACCCUGGGGUCAUGACGGUACCGUAAGAAUAAGCACCGGCUAACUACGUGCCAGCCGCCGCAGUAA